ensembl:ncRNA lncRNA:CR44934 long non-coding RNA:CR44934
CAUAAACAAAUGCACAAACGAACUCUUUAAACUUUCCGACUAACCAAGGAUAUCCCUAAAUACCAUUUGACAAAUCGAAAAGUUUUCUUUUUGGCCAAACUCUUACACGGCAAACCGUAAGAACGCUCCAAUGAUUCCAAUUCGGUUGUUGGCCCGAAACUUUGUCGGGCUUAAAGUUUAUGACGCAGGUGUUUGCUUUGGAUUAGAGCAGCCGGCAUAAGCGGGCUACAAAAAAGAUGUGGGAUUACCUGGCGUAUGAGCAACUUCUCUGGCCCUGAAGUGUGAGUGCUAUAACAACAUUCCGGUGACCGAGGAAACCUCAGGAUUCAUUUUCCAGCUUUUCAGCACAGCUGACCACAACAAACAGCCUACAAUCUCCCACACGGACAGACAGAUGAGUGGUGGUAUGGUGUGGCUGGUGCGUGUGUGUUUGUGGAUCAUCUGAACCCACCCACACUUGCACACUUAAAACGCUGACAAAACGAUGGCACAAACAUGAAAAUUGUUUUUAAAUUGACGAUGAAAGGCAAAUCCAUGUGUGAACAACUCAAUGGAGCACACACACACCCACACACAAUAAAGGCCUGAUUUCUGGUCUUUUUUCCAUAUUAAGCUGCUCAUUCUUCUUGCGGAUUAAAUCUUCCGUAUGAUAAUUCUGUAAUUUUUAUACACCUGCCAUAGUGUUUGAUCUGCAUUGAGAAUUAAAAAAGGCAAAUAAAUGUU